rnacentral:rRNA from 1 species
UACCAGCACCCCGAGUGGUCGGGACGUUUAUUGGGUCUAAAGCAUCCGUAGCCGGUUCUACAAGUCUUCCGUUAAAUCCACCUGCUCAACAGAUGGGCUGCGGAAGAUACUAUGGAGCUAGGAGGCGGGAGAGGCAAGCGGUACUCGAUGGGUAGGGGUAAAAUCCGUUGAUCCAUUGAAGACCACCAGUGGCGAAGGCGGCUUGCCAGAACGCGCUCGACGGUGAGGGAUGAUAGCUGGGGGAGCAAACCGG